rnacentral:rRNA from 1 species
AACGAACGAUGGAGGAAGGAAGAACACAGGCAAGUCGAACGAGACCUUCGGGUCUAGUGGCGCACGGGUGCGUAACGCGUGGGAACCUGCCCUUAGGUUCGGAAUAACUCCCCGAAAGGGGUGCUAAUACCGGAUAAUGUCUUCGGACCAAAGAUUUAUCGCCUUUGGAUGGGCCCGCGUUGGAUUAGCUAGUUGGUAGGGUAAAAGCCUACCAAGGCGACGAUCCAUAGCUGGUCUGAGAGGAUGAUCAGCCACACUGGGACUGAGACACGGCCCAGACUCCUACGGGAGGCAGCAGUGGGGAAUAUUGGACAAUGGGCGAAAGCCUGAUCCAGCAAUGCCGCGUGAGUGAUGAAGGCCUUAGGGUUGUAAAGCUCUUUUACCCGGGAUGAUAAUGACAGUACCGGGAGAAUAAGCUCCGGCUAACUCCGUG